GGCCAGGAGCAGGCAAGGCCAGGCAUGUGAUGUGCUUUUAUUCCUAGGCAGUGCUGCUCCCUUUGCAGCGGGAGGUCCGGUCUCUCCAGUCCAGACUUAGACCGACGCCUGUUUCGCUGUGGGGCCUGGAGUAGCUCCCCUGGCCCCUCCCCACCCACUCUCGCUCAGCUGAUUUGUGCCUGGGUGCCCAGCCACGGCCAUUGGAGUUUGGGGGCUUGAACGAGGAGGGGUUUCGCCUUGAGCAACAGGAUGUUCCCCGGAAGAGGGCACCCAAAUGGUUUCUUCCAUCCCUGCCCUAAGGACAUCAGCCCCUCCGCCUACCCUGACGACUUUCGCAGGGAUGACGAGGGCAUGGGGUGGGCGCCCCAGGACCAUCAGGAGGCAGCCAACUGGGAUUACCGACACGGGAGACGCGAGGAAGGCUUCAGGGACAGGUGGCACUCGGUAAGCGGGUCUGGGUUGAGCCUGGAGGGGUGUUGUGUCCAGGCAGAGUGUGGGAGGUGAGCUGGGGCUAGGGCAGGAGCAGGGGACGUGGGUAGUGAGGACGAUGUCCCGGGGAGAAUUCCUGGGGCAGGCAUAAGCAAUCCUGCUUGGCCCUGCAUGCAAAUGAGUGGAGCCUUCCUGAACCCGGGCGGGGAGGAUGUUAGGCUGGUCAGGAAGAUGGGGGCAGCGGGGUAGGGGUGCCCCUGUGAGGGGUAGGGGGUCCAGACUGGCUCUGCCAGGAGUCCUGAUCUGGCCCUGCUUCCCAGCGGUCACAAACCCACCAAGCCAUAGGAAUAGGCCAAGAUAUUACAUGCCCGGGGCUUGAUUCACCCCCUGAGGACCAGCCAGUAUCCUUCCUGCUAAUGCAUCCCAGCAGAACAUCUUAGGUGUGUCGCCUGCCUCUGGCUGCUGCCGUUCCAGAUCACUCCUGCCGCUCACUCCCAUUGAGGCAGAGUGCCCUAGCAGGGGCCUGGGUGGCUGGACACCUGGGCUCUAAUCCUGGCUGUGCCACUGACUCGCUGUGUGACCCUUGGCAAGUCACUCGACCUCUUCUUGCCUCGGUUCCCCCAGCAGUUAACCACAAACGAACGGGGCUUGCCCACCUACCUCGCAGUUAAGUGCCCCAGAUGCAUUCCUUGCUGCUGUGAUGAAGCAGCAACGGUGGGGCACAAAACAGUGACUAGCUGAGAGAAGGUAAAUGGGUCGCUCCUGUUCACCUUCAUUCAUCGCACGGGAACAAGGGGACAUUGAUUAAAACUGAUUGGAGCAGGUCCUUGUAUUUACACUACACAUAAUUAACCCAGGGCCUAGAGUUCAGUCAGGUUCAAAGGGGAAUAGACAUUUUACUGAUGUGGAUAAUGUGAAUAUUUGCAGUUACAUUCCACAGGAAAAAAAGACUAUGUAAAGGCUACAAACCUUCAUGCUUCAGGGUACGAGACAGCUGCUAACUGAUGGGGUCAGGCAGAAAAUUCCCCUCUGGGCCAGUUAUUCCAUAGUGUUCAUUGCAAGGUUUCUUGCAUCU
rnacentral:lncRNA from 1 species